GUGGUAAAGCGAUCUGUCGCGGCAUUAGCUGAGGAAAGUCCGCACAGGAAAGGGCACCCGUCUGUGGAAAGCACAGUAGGGAGUAAUCUUUAGGCAAUGUAACAGAGAAUUACCGCCGGGGGAGGCCGCAAGGCCGUCAUUACCCCGGUAAGGGUGAAAACGCGGGGUAAGAGCCCACGACGUCAUACGGCGACGUAUGGCGGGUACGUUGUCCGGGCCUGCAAGACCAAAUAUACCGGCAGAUGAGGGCUGCCCGUCCGAUGCCGGGGGGUAGGUUGCGAAGAUAAAUGACAGAUUUAAAAACAGAAAGCGGCUUACGGCUUUACCACUUUU
rnacentral:RNase_P_RNA from 1 species